UNGGUCUAAAUGGAAACCAAGAAGAACCUA
rnacentral:piRNA from 1 species